GCUUAACACAUGCAAGUCGAGGGGUAACAGGAGUAGCUUGCUAUUUGCUGACGACCGGCGCACGGGUGCGUAACGCGUAUAGAAUCUACCUUAUACUGGGGGAUAGCCUUUGGAAACGAAGAUUAAUACCCCAUAGUAUUAUUUUUUGGCAUCAUUAAAUAAUUAAAGUUUCGGCGGUAUAAGAUGACUAUGCGUUCUAUUAGUUAGUUGGUAAGGUAACGGCUUACCAAGACUUCGAUAGAUAGGGGUCCUGAGAGGGAGAUCCCCCACACUGGUACUGAGACACGGACCAGACUCCUACGGGAGGCAGCAGUGAGGAAUAUUGGACAAUGGAGGCAACUCUGAUCCAGCCAUGCCGCGUGUAGGAAGACUGCCCUAUGGGUUGUAAACUACUUUUAUAUGGGAAGAAUAAGGUCUACGUGUAGACUGAUGACGGUACCAUAAGAAUAAGCACCGGCUAACUCCGUGCCAGCAGCCGCGGUAAUACGGAGGGUGCAAGCGUUAUCCGGAAUCAUUGGGUUUAAAGGGUCCGUAGGCGGGCAUAUAAGUCAGUGGUGAAAGUCUGUGGCUUAACCAUAGAAUUGCCAUUGAUACUGUAUGUCUUGAAUUAUUGUGAAGUGGUUAGAAUAUGUAGUGUAGCGGUGAAAUGCUUAGAGAUUACAUAGAAUACCGAUUGCGAAGGCAGAUCACUAACAAUAUAUUGACGCUGAUGGACGAAAGCGUAGGUAGCGAACAGGAUUAGAUACCCUGGUAGUCUACGCCGUAAACGAUGGAUACUAGUUGUUUGGCCUUCGGGCUGAGUGACUAAGCGAAAGUGAUAAGUAUCCC
rnacentral:rRNA from 1 species